rnacentral:rRNA from 1 species
UACAGAGGUCUCAAGCGUUGUUCGGAUUCAUUGGGCGUAAAGGGUGCGUAGGCGGCGCGGUAAGUCGGGUGUGAAAUCUCGGAGCUUAACUCCGAAACUGCAUUCGAUACUGUUUUGCUUGAGGACUGGAGAGGAGAUUGGAAUUCACGGUGUAGCAGUGAAAUGUGUAGAUAUCGUGAGGAAGACCAGUGGCGAAGGCGGAUCUCUGGACAGUUCCUGACGCUGAGGCGCGAAGGCCAGGGGAGCAAAUGGG